UAUGUGAUCGUCUCUCGCAUAUCAAUAAGCGGAGGAAAAGAAACUAACAAGGAUUCCCCUAGUAACGGCGAGUGAAGCGGGAAGAGCUCAAAUUUGAAAUCUUAAAGGGUUUCCCUUUACGAAUUGUAGUUUAAAGAAGUGUUUUCUGUUGAGGUUUUGGUAAAAGUUCUUUGGAAUAGGACAUCAUAGAGGGUGAGAAUCCCGUAUUUGACCUUUACUUUCAACUUUGUGAUACACUUUCAAAGAGUCGGAUUGUUUGGGAAUGCAGUCCAAAAUGGGUGGUAAAUUUCAUCUAAAGCUAAAUAUUGGCGAGAGACCGAUAGCGAACAAGUACCGUGAGGGAAAGAUGAAAAGAACUUUGAAAAGAGAGUUAAACAGUACGUGAAAUUGUCAAAAGGGAAGCGUUUGACACCAGUGUUGUUUUUCUGAAAAUCAAUUAAAGAACUGUUUAUGCUAAGUUGUUUAGACUUUAUCAGCUAUCUGCUUAGUUUUGAGCUUUUCUUUAAUGCACUUUUCAGUUAACAAGUCAACAUCAAUUUCUUUUGCUGUAAAAAAGCUUGAGGAAGGUGGCUUGAGAUUCGUCUUAAGUGUUUAUAGCCUCUUGCCUAUGCAGUCGGAGAGAUUGAGGUCUGCAGCGUAGAUCCUUCGGGGCUAAAUGCAUUUGUGCUAAGUUAUAGCAUUUUAUAAACAACUUGUUGACUAUGAUUUGUCUUGUAGCUUACUCGCUUAUGUUAUUUUACCUACGCUUAGGAUGUUGAGUCGUAGAGCACGCAG
rnacentral:rRNA from 1 species